UUAACUGUGCAAUACUUUCAACACUUCCUUGCAUGCCAUUUCAUGUGGCAUAUCUUUUCUGGUCACAAAUUUGUGCAGCGAAUCUAUUUGCAUGAUCGACUCCGGGCCUGUGGGACCGUUCACUUGCACUUGAUGCUGAGUCUUUUACAUGUAUCCAUAAACUGCAGAUAUGCACAUCAGAUCCCUGCGAGCAUUUUCAAAAUUCAGUUAUUUUAGACAACAGGCACAUAUGCAAUAUUGACAUAAUCUCAAAUACCACUAAGCAGCUGGGACACAUUUUUGUUGACCAUACUCGCCGGUAAAACAAGUAGAUCAUGUGGACAGCUCCAGCUCAUUUUCCUUAAAUCAGUGUGUACAAGGGGUAAGCAAAAAUAAUUUUUUUCUCGCGCACCGAUUAUUUUGCUGUAUAAGCAAGAGAACCCCCCACGUUAGUGUAACGUAUCUUGUACAUCACACUAAUAUGUGCUUUAAUUUACCAAGUGAGAUGAGUUACUUUUAUGGCUCAUUCAGUCAAAUCACACUGCAAGCUGCAUUCAUCAAUCUUAAAUUGGAUUUUGCAAAUGUUUAAUGAAACAUGUUUCCCUUUUAUAUAGAUAUGCAAUGGCAAGCCCUUCUGUGUGUUCCAAAGGUAAAAUUUAAGCUCUAAAUGAAAGAAGACAUUUCUAGUCAGAAACAAGCAAAAAUGGUGAAUGCAGAGUAUCAGAAGCCCAAGGUACAGAAAUUAUGAGAAGUGUCGAAUGAUUGUAAGAAAAGAGUCGUAUUUGAAAAUGCAAGACUCUUUAGUGGAGGUCAAGCAAGUCAAUAUAGGUAGAAUACUCUGCAAAAUUAUGCGAGUGAGGGGAUGUCAAACAAUGGGUCACGAAAUGCAUUGUUUUUCUGCAAAACAAAAGCUGAUUGCCAUUACAUAAGUCACUUUAGCAUCAUGAGACUGCUGCUUGAUAAAUUCAGAAAUAAACCAAAAAACAAGACACGCAAAAAUAAAAAUCAAUUUAAUGAUGCCCUCUCCACACUGGGAUAAAUAAAAACAAACACAUCACAUCUAAUGGGGACAUAUCAGACGCCUUGUGAAACACUACAGGAAAAAUUCAGUUUCGAGCUAUGGCACUUGCCACAUAGAUGUGGGGGGCCUUGCACUAAUAGUGAUAGUUACCACUGCCUUUAGAAAUUAAAAGCAUUGAUGCAGACAAGGACGAUUCUUUAUAUUUUUGGCUACCACUUCAAAUGCCUCCACCAAGCGUUACAAUGCUGCACGUAGCCAUACUAAGGAUCUCGCAGCAACACCUGCAGGUAGAAUGCAGAAGCAGUCAAAGUGCUGGUGUGUUCUGGACACUAUGUUUGAAAACUUUUAGGCAAGAAGAGUGCAAGAAGCAGACAUAACAACUGCAUUUAUUUCCAUAAUUCCCCAUUUGAAUGGCCUUUUCUUUUUGCUUAGACAAUGCCUACACCUAGCCACAGCAGCUCCCUCAUACAGACUCCGCAGGCCAAGAGGCCAUGGAGGCAAAUGCAGGCAGCCAGCACACCUCGAACAGCCACCUUGUCUGCGGGUGUGUCACCCUAGUCGCCAAGGAAACAUUUGAGGGAAAGCGACAGGCAAUGUGAACAGCCACUUCUCCAUGUAAACGAUACGCUUUCUCUCAGAUGACUCCUACGCCUCACCUCGCCAGCACACUUGUGCACAAAGAUGCCGCGGAGGCACGUGCAGGUCAGAGGCAAGAAGCAGUGGUACUGGUGUCGACAUUCACCCAAUUUCUUUUUCCUACACUGAGGCAGCCAGCACACCUUGAACAGCCGCCUUGACUGCGGGUGUGUCAGUAGAUUCCUGUUGUACAUAUGCUCAUAAUAAACUUCAGUAAACUUGAA
rnacentral:lncRNA from 1 species